ACAUGUCUUUUUGUUUUAAAUAUAAAGUUUAACCUGCCCAUUGAAUAAUUUUAAAAGGCUGCGGUAUUUUGACCGUACAAAGGUAGCAUAGUCAUUAGUUUUUUAAUUGAAAACUUGUAUGAAUGGUUGAAUGAAAAAUUAACUUUUUUAAGAAAAAAAUUGAAUUUUACUUUUUAAUUAAAAGGUUAAAAUUUAUUUAAAAGACGAGAAGACCCUAUAGAGUUUAAUAAAUAAAAAUAUAUUUUUUAAAAAGUUUAUUAUAAAUUUUAUAUUUUUAUAUAUUUUGUUGGGGUGACAAUAAAAUUUAAUUAACUUUUAUUAAUAAAUUACAUUAAUAUAUGAUUUUUUGAUCCAAUUAUAUUGAUUAAAAAUUUAAAUUACCUUAGGGAUAACAGCGUAAUUUUUUUUUAAGUUCAUAUUAAUAAAAAAUUUUGCGACCUCGAUGUUGGAUUAAGAUUUAAUUUUAGGUGCAGCAGUUUAAAAUUUAAGUCUGUUCGACUUUUAAAUUCUUACGUGA
rnacentral:rRNA from 1 species